GCGGGAUAGCUCAGUUGGUUAGAGCAGCGGAAUCAUAAUCCGCGUGUCGGGGGUUCAAGUCCCUCUCCCG
rnacentral:tRNA from 1 species